rnacentral:rRNA from 1 species
ACGGGUAGCCGGCCUGAGAGGGUGACCGGCCACACUGGGACUGAUAUACGGCCCAGACUCCUACGGGAGGCAGCAGUGGGGAAUAUUGCACAAUGGGCGCAAGCCUGAUGCAGCGACGCCGCGUGAGGGAUGACGGCCUUCGGGUUGUAAACCUCUUUCAAUAGGGACGAAGCGCAAGUGACGGUACCUAUAGAAGAAGGACCGGCCAACUACGUGCCAGCAGCCGCGGUAAUACGUAGGGUCCGAGCGUUGUCCGGAAUUACUGGGCGUAAAGAGCUCGUAGGUGGUUUGUCGCGUUGUUCGUGAAAACUCACAGCUUAACUGUGGGCGUGCGGGCGAUACGGGCAGACUAGAGUACUGCAGGGGAGACUGGAAUUCCUGGUGUAGCGGUGGAAUGCGCAGAUAUCAGGAGGAACACCGGUGGCGAAGGCGGGUCUCUGGGCAGUAACUGACGCUGAGGAGCGAAAGCGUGGGGAGCGAACAGGAUUAGAUACCCUGGUAGUCCACGCCGUAAACGGUGGGUACUAGGUGUGGGUUUCCUUCCUUGGGAUCCGUGCCGUAGCUAACGCAUUAAGUACCCCGCCUGGGGAGUACGGCCGCAAGGCUAAAACUCAAAGGAAUUGACGGGGGCCCGCACAAGCGGCGGAGCAUGUGGAUUAAUUCGAUGCAACGCGAAGAACCUUACCUGGGUUUGACAUGCACAGGACGCCAGUAGAGAUAUUGGUUCCCUUGUGGCC